UAUGGCCACAUCGCAUUGAAACACAGGUUCCCCCUACGACCACCGAAGUUAAACAACGUCGGGCUUGGCCAGUAUCUAGAUGGGUGAUCUCUUGGUAAUAAGACGUACUGUAAG